UCGUAAACUUCCUUUUGGCCAACAAUAACUAAGCACCCUUAUCCUGGAAAUUUAGAUUGUCAUCCAAAUUCGGUCUCUAAGCAACAUUUUCCUUUUCAUUUGGUAAACAGCAGCAUUUUCUCAGCGUCUUUAACUUUCGCAAAGGAGACUUUAUUCCAUUUCUCCAUGCCAAGCAUCACUUACUAAUGUCAGCAAUGCCCUGCCAAGCACCUUUCUGCAUUUUGUUUUCCUCUCAAAAACAACGUGAAGCACCUCUAUGUUCUCCUCGUCUCCGUAUUCAUCUUCCAAUCGUUAAAAUCCGCACCAGCUGCCUGCCUCGAACAUGAUCAAUGGAGUCUAUUGGCAUUCAAGCCGGGUAUAACCCAUGGGCUACCCGACAAACCUAAGAGGUACAGGGAUGGCUUAACUUGCACCAUCGACAACCGGGUUAACACCAUAUCACUCCAUGGGCUACCCGACAAACCAAAGAGGUUCUUAACAGCAAUGAUACAUUGUUGAGUUUCUAAAGAAAUCUUGAAUGUCUGAGUGUAAACCAAUUGCUACUCUAAUUGUAGUAGGUUCUCAUUUAUUCAAAUCAAUUGGUUCUCCUCAUCCGGGUCCUAACCAAUUCAGACAGUUAGACGGUGCUCUCCAGUAUCUCCCAUUCAUAUAACCUGACACUUGUUUCGUGGUUAACAAGAAAAGCUAUUGGCGCGUGCAAAACACAUAUCAUCAUGUGGGAGCCAUCGUGUACUUUGAAUAGCAUGGGUGGUGGCUUACAAUGGUAAAAAUCAGCCUUUCAUCGUAUGAUUUGAUGCCUCGUCGUCUUCCUUUUCAUAAUUAGUGAUGCGUGUAUUCAAAAUGCAGCCAGUUUAUUAUCGAUGAACUUUUUUUUAUCCUUUUGUUUCUCUCUCUUACCCUUAUAAAAGCACUAUGAUCCUCAUUAUUAUUGAUAUUUCAAAUUUAUUUAUUUUAGUUUUGAUUUUAGUAUCUUGGUCAUUUUUCCUUUUGUGAAAGGGUUUUUUGGUUUCUAAUUUGUAUAUAAAAUAUAUUUCGAUUUGGCCGUUCAUCUUAUAAUUUUUUAUUUUUUUUUGUUUUUUUGUCAAAUUUUUUAUUAUUUUUAAUUUUAUCUUUCGAAUUAAAUAUAGUUUUUAAUUUUAUCCUUCAAAUCAAAUUCAGAGUUUUUAUAAUAUUAAUAAUAAUGGUGGUGGUGGUGCUUUGAAUUACUAUUUUUUAAAAUCUUUUCAUAUGAUUGAAUUUUUUAAAAUUUUAUAUUUUAAAAUUUAAUUUAUUAAAAAUUAAACUUUAUUAUUUUUCUAGAUUGAAUACUUCAGGUCUAAUGACUCGCGUCAAAGAUUUACAAAGUUAUCAUAUUAAAAAAAAUUUCUAAUUCUUUUUAUUUUUUUAAUCAUAUAAUGCGAGUUGUGGAUUUUACAAGAUUUUUUAUAUUAGCUUAGCUUUAAUUAGCAUUAUACAUUUGUCAUGACCAAUUGUUAUGUCAAUAUUUUAACUUCAUUAAUAUUUAAAUAUUAUUUUUUUCAUAAAAAAAUAAUUUCACCUCAUAGUAAAGUGUAGUAACCAAGACUAAUUAUAAAUUAAAUUUAAAGUAAUGGUAUUUAUUAUUGUUGUAAUCAUUGCAAGUUGAUUGUAAUAUAUAUCAAGUGAAUAACAUGCUUUUCUGUAUUUUAUUAUAUCUUAUCUUUCAUUCGUCAAAUAUAGAGAUAUUUACCUUAUUUUAUACACCAAUGUCAAAUACAACUUUGUGCCUAUCUCUAGUUUGUCACAUGUUCUUUAUCCUAACUAUCUUCAUUUUAUUUUCUCAAAAUAUUAACAGAACAUUACUUAUUACCUAUAUCUAUUAUCAGAUUUAGGUUGCAAGGCACCUCCUUCAUCUCCUUCAUUCUUCAUGUGAAUAGUGAAACGGAUGGCCUUUUAAUUUUAUCAUUAUUUAUUUUAUUUUUAUUUUUUAUAGUCUCACUUUCAUUAUUAAUUUUUUUGGUUGUUCAUGAUGCAUGAUGCAUUUAGUCAGACCAAGUCAACUAAAUAAUAUCAGAUCAACUUCUUCAUGGUUUAAAAUUAAACGUUGGUUUAAAAUUAAACUUGGGUAGGGCAAUGAGUCUAGUUGUGGUGUUUUUUGUUAUGUCGAUUUCAUCCUUAAAAGUUUUUUACCAGUUAGCCAAGUUGUUUUUGGAUCAAUCAAGUUGAUAAGGUCAUAUCAAGAAAAGUCUCAUACUAUUUAAUUUUAAAUCCAGGCUAGGUAAAGAGUUUGAGUUGAUAGGUUGUUUUGUUAAUUUUUUUCUUUUCUCUCAAUUUUAUCAUCAAACAUUUUUUACAAGUUGACUGGAUUAUAUUUUGAUUGGUUAAAUUGAUUAGUUCAUAUUAAGAUAAUUUUUAAAUAAUUUAAUUUUAAAUUAAAGAUAGGUAAGGAGUUGUGUUUAGAAAUUUCAAAGUUGACUAGAGAUGACUAUAACAAUAAUAUUAAAUGGUUUUUUAUAUUUUUUAUUAUAUUUUAAAAAAUUAUCUUAGCAUACCACGGCUGAUAUAUACUAAGUAUACAUAUAAUUAUUAAUAAGUGAUUAUCUAAAAUACUUGUGUUAUAAUAUUCCUUCACACUCGGGUUACCACGAGUGAAUAGUACAAUGGGUGCAUUCACUAAUUUAUUGUCAUUAAUCAUAGCAACAUUUAGUAAUCAUAACAAUCAACCAGCCCUUUCUCUAUGACAGCAUUUUUCAUCAGCUUAAGAGAUUCUUCGAUAUCAUCGCAGAUUUGAUGAGGAUCAGGAACUACCCCUUCGUCAACUGAUACGAUGAUUUUCAUUUUGUUGACAUAACUCACAACAUGAAUCAUUAAUGCCUGAAACCAAACAUAUAUGACAAUAUUAAAAUGAGGAUAUAUAUUCUUAAAAAUAGUAACGAUCAAUUUACGAGACUCUUUCUGUUUCAAGUUAGAGGUGAUUUGCAUGUCAUUUGUGUUUUUCAAAUUUUAGAACACACGUUAAUGAUAGUUAAUACAUAUAAUUUACAAUGGUCCAAGGACCAUUUUAUUUUUUAUAAUAGUCAAAUUUUAUUAAUGAUUAUAGAACUCUGUUAAGUAAAUGAAGUUUUGCCUGAAAAAUAAUGAAAGGAGACAUUCAAAAAAGUAGAAAACUUCUGUCCAGGGACCAUUUUAGUUUUGUUAUUUUGGUCUGGAAUUGUAAUAGCAGUAGUAGCAGUUAAAAAUAUUUUUUUUAAAAAAAUAUAUUAAAAUAAUUUUUUAUUUUUUAAAAAAUUAUUUUUGAUACCAACAUAUUAAAAAUAAUUUUAAAAAAUAAAAAUAAUAAUUUUAAAUUAAAAAUAAAUUCAAAAUAUGAUGGUACUCACAUUAGGUUGCCCAUAGCAUGUAGGAGCUACGUAUGCCACUUGAUGGCCGAAACAAGUGACUUCUUCUUGAGGACCAGGCACGUUUGAGUACCACAAUGUAGUUUGAGUUGGAAAGCUUGCCCACUGCGACAAUAAAUAGGAUUUAUUUAUUUAUUUUUAGCCCCAAUAAGACUAGAAAAACAUUUGAAGCCUUGCAAGGAAGAAAUGGAUCAGUAUAGCUCUACUAAUAAUAAAGGGUCGAGUGUUCUAGCAGAUUUAUUGUACCUUAGCACUGAAGAAUUUGAUAAAGAAUUUUGCCAUUAAAUAUGUGUAUAAUGCUUCAAGAGAAGCUUUCUUCCUCUUUCCUGUUGCCUUGGCACUUCGAACAUGAUCUAAUACAUCCUCUCGCAAUCCAAUGGUGAAGGGGAAGAUAACGUAGCCGAUCAGGUUGCCCAGCUUCACUUUGCUGCUACUUUUUAUCAUUUCAGAAACAUCCUAUAUAUAAAGAAAUUGAAAAAAAUUAUAAUUAAUCGAUCCUUUGUUAGUAAUAGAUACGCAAAAAAUGAGACAGCCUUAAAUAUUAAUAAUGCUUGAGAUGGGACGAAUUUUGUUUUUGAUUUGAAUCCUUAAAUACUGUCUAACAAUCCAUUAUUAGACAAUAGUUUAUUGAUUUAUUGUUUAGAUUAGAUGAAAGAAAAGAGAGGAUAAGUAAUUAAGUUCUUAAUCUUUUUUAUUGUGCAUUAAAUUAAUAGAAAACACCAAGGGAGCAAAAAGAAUCCCUCAAGGCGAAACACAGAACAUGAAAUCAAUGGAGCAAAGCACUAGCUCCCAAGCAGAAAAAAGGCAAAGAAGUUGUUUUACUCACUUCAUUUACUAGAUAUGGCCUUAAAUUCACGAAAUGAGUUGCUCUUAGACGAAUGUUCUUAGGAAGAUUGUUGUGCCCUUCUGCCCCUCCUGCCUCCUCCUUAAUUUUACCUGCCGAAUAAAGAAUUAGUUCACCAAGCGGAAGAUAACUAGCAAAUUAAGAGUUAAUUAAGCUAAUUUAACCUAUCUGAUUACUUAAGCGUGUAGUCUAGCUAAGAGCAUAUUUUAGAAAAUUGUUUUAGAUAUAGCUAUAAGCGUAUUUAUUGUCUUUGAAGAACAUAAGCUAAAACUUUACACCGAAGUAAAGUUGGCAUUAAAUUUAUUUUCAGAAAUUUCUUACCAUAUUUUCUAUUGAGAUUUCGAGUUAGAGCUGCUUCUGUGACUCCCACCAUCACAUCAUUGACUGUCUAGAAAAAAUUAACAACAAAAAAAAAGCAACGAGUUCUUGAGAGUAAUGCAAAUUUUUCCGUGAAUUUUCUUUCGAAACAUAAAUCAACACUUUUUUUUAAUACUAAGAGAGAAUAAGUAAAACUUCUACAGUGUGGACAGAUUGAUAUUUAGUAAUUGGCUUACAACAUUCAUGGCAUUCUUGACCAGCUUAACAUCCUCCAAACUCACAGUUCGAUGAACAAUCCGCCGUGGAGUAGAUGCAACGCCUAAUGGACCUUUGAGGGGCGUUUUCGUAUCAUCCAAGUAGAAAGUUGUGAUAAAAAACAUUACAACAUCAACAAAA